rnacentral:rRNA from 1 species
CCUACGGGGGGCUGCAGUGAGGAAUAUUGGUCAAUGGGCUUACGCCUGAACCAGCCAAGUCGCGUGAGGGAAGACUGCCCUAUGGGUUGUAAACCUCUUUUGUCAGGGAGCAAUUGGCGCUACGUGUAGCGUUAUCGAGAGUACCUGAAGAAAAAGCAUCGGCUAACUCCGGGCCAGCAGCCGCGGUAAUACGGAGGAUGCGAGCGUUAUCCGGAUUGAUUGGGGUUAAAGGGUGCGUAGGCGGAAUGCCAAGUCAGCGGUAAAAUCGCGGGGCUCAACCUCGCUCCGCCGUUGAAACUGGCGUUCUUGAGUGGGCGAGAAGUAUGCGGAAUGCGUGGUGUAGCGGUGAAAUGCAUAGAUAUCACGCAGAACUCCGAUUGCGAAGGCAGCAUACCGGCGCCCAACUGACGCUGAAGCACGAAAGCGUGGGUAUCGAACAGGAUUAGAUACCCGGGUAGUC